rnacentral:rRNA from 1 species
UACGUAGGUCCCGAGCGUUGUCCGGAUUUAUUGGGCGUAAAGCGAGCACAGGUGGUUUAUUAAGUCUGGUGUAAAAGGCAGUGGCUCAACCAUUGUAUGCAUUGGAAACUGGUAGACUUGAGUGCAGGAGAGGAGAGUGGAAUUCCAUGUGUAGCGGUGAAGUGCGUAGAUAUAUGGAGGAACACCGGUGGCGAAAGCGGCUCUCUGGCCUGUAACUGACACUGAGGCUCGAAAGCGUGGGGAGCAAACAGG